CGCAAGCAGAGGCAACCGACGACGACUACGACGAUCUCGUAGGGUAGUCUCGUAAAGGGCGAUCGGCGCUCGGGGCGAUCUCCCAGGGCAUCAGCCGCGCCACACGACGUCAUUGUCUCUUUCUUCUUUUUCGCUCUUGUUUGCGCUCGGUGCUUUUGUCCGGUAUCCCUCUUUUGGCCGUUGGGUCUUUUUUUCUCGCCUCUUGUUGAAAAGCGGUGGCGCGGUGGUGGCCUCGGCGUGUGUGACUGUGGGCGCAUGUGAGGACGAACGGCCACGCAAAGAAAAAAAGGAUCAUCCGCGCCACGAGCCCGUGCGGCGACUGGCCACACGCCAACAACGCCAGCACCUGAAAGAAAAAACCCAUUCGCGCAAAAAAAAGAGAAAAGGGGUUGGCAAAUCAAAAAACCUUUUUUUUUCCUCGCAAAAGAAAAACCGACGACGACCGGUCUUUUUUGGCCCGUGUGGGCCUUUUGGUCGCUGUACAUUUGUUUGAUC
rnacentral:lncRNA from 1 species